GAUCGGGUAGGCUAAUUGUUAAAGCCGCUUCCGCACAAAGGGAGUGAUUGUUGGUUAAAGUCCAACCCUGAUCACCA
rnacentral:tRNA from 1 species